rfam:Weissella cibaria strain MG1 contig000005, whole genome shotgun sequence.
GCCGAUAUGGCGGAACUGGCAUACGCAGCGGACUUAAAAUCCGUCCCUUAAUUGGUUGUGGGUUCGAAUCCCACUAUCGGCA